rnacentral:rRNA from 1 species
UCGCGGCCUAUCAGCUUGUUGGUGAGGUAAUGGCUCACCAAGGCGUCGACGGGUAGCCGGCCUGAGAGGGUGACCGGCCACACUGGGACUGAGACACGGCCCAGACUCCUACGGGAGGCAGCAGUGGGGAAUAUUGCACAAUGGGCGCAAGCCUGAUGCAGCAACGCCGCGUGAGGGACAACGGCCUUCGGGUUGUAAACCUCUUUUAGCAGGGAAGAGGCGAAAGUGACGGUACCUGCAGAAAAAGCGCCGGCUAACUACGUGCCAGCAGCCGCGGUAAUACGUAGGGCGCAAGCGUUAUCCGGAAUUAUUGGGCGUAAAGAGCUCGUAGGCGGUUUGUCGCGUCUGCUGUGAAAUCCCGAGGCUCAACCUCGGGUCUGCAGUGGGUACGGGCAGACUAGAGUGCGGUAGGGGAGAUUGGAAUUCCUGGUGUAGCGGUGGAAUGCGCAGAUAUCAGGAGGAACACCGAUGGCGAAGGCAGAUCUCUGGGCCGUAACUGACGCUGAGGAGCGAAAGGGUGGGGAGCAAACAGGCUUAGAUACCCUGGUAGUCCACCCCGUAAACGUUGGGAACUAGUUGUGGGGUCCAUUCCACGGAUUCCGUGACGCAGCUAACGCAUUAAGUUCCCCGCCUGGGGAGUACGGCCGCAAGGCUAAAACUCAAAGGAAUUGACGGGGACCCGCACAAGCGGCGGAGCAUGCGGAUUAAUUCGAUGCAACGCGAAGAACCUUACCAAGGCUUGGCAUAUACGAGAACGGGCCAGAAAUGGUCAACUCUUUGGACACUCGUAAACAGGUGGUGCAUGGUUGUCGUCAGCUCGUGUCGUGAGAUGUUGGGUUAAGUCCCGCAACGAGCGCAACCCUCGUUCUAUGUUGCCAGCACGUAAUGGUGGGAACUCAUGGGAUACUGCCGGGGUCAACUCGGAGGAAGGUGGGGAUGACGUCAAAUCAUCAUGCCCCUUAUGUCUUGGGCUUCACGCAUGCUACAAUGGCCGGUACAAAGGGCUGCAAUACCGUAAGGUGGAGCGAAUCCCA